AGAGUUUGAUCAUGGCUCAGGAUGAACGCUAGCGGCAGGCUUAAUACAUGCAAGUCGUGGGGCAGCAUGAGUGUAGCAAUACAUUUGAUGGCGACCGGCAAACGGGUGCGGAACACGUACAGAACCUUCCUUCAAGUGGUGAAUAGCCCAGAGAAAUUUGGAUUAAUACACCGUAACAUAUGAGAGUGGCAUCACUUUUAUAUUAUAGCUCCGGCGCUUGAAGAUGGCUGUGCGGCUGAUUAGGUAGUUGGCGGGGUAACGGCCCACCAAGCCUGCGAUCAGUAACUGGUGUGAGAGCACGACCAGUCACACGGGCACUGAGACACGGGCCCGACUCCUACGGGAGGCAGCAGUAAGGAAUAUUGGUCAAUGGACGCAAGUCUGAACCAGCCAUGCCGCGUGAAGGAUGAAGGUCCUCUGGAUUGUAAACUUCUUUUAUCUGGGACGAAAAAAGGGCUUUCUAGCUCGACUGACGGUACCAGAGGAAUAAGCACCGGCUAACUCCGUGCCAGCAGCCGCGGUAAUACGGAGGGUGCAAGCGUUAUCCGGAUUCACUGGGUUUAAAGGGAGCGUAGGCGGGCAGGUAAGUCAGUGGUGAAAUCUCCGGGCUUAACCCGGAAACUGCCAUUGAUACUAUCUGUCUUGAAUAUCCUGGAGGCAAGCGGAAUAUGUCAUGUAGCGGUGAAAUGCUUAGAUAUGACAUAGAACACCCAUUGCGAAGGCAGCUUACUACGGGAUGAUUGACGCUGAGGCUCGAAGAGCGUGGGGAUCAAACAGGAUUAGAUACCCUGGUAGUCCACGCCCUAAAACGAUGGAUACUCGACAUCAGCGAUACACUGUUGGUGUCUGAGCGAAAGCAUUAAGUAUCCCACCUGGGAAGUACGACCGCAAGGUUGAAACUCAAAGGAAUUGGCGGGGGUCCGCACAAGCGGUGGAGCAUGUGGUUUAAUUCGAUGAUACGCGGAGGAACCUUACCACGGCUAAGAUGCUGGGAGACGGUGGGGUGGAAAGCUUCACUUUUGUAGCAUUAACACUGCCAGUAAAGGU
rnacentral:rRNA from 1 species